GAUGAACGCUGGCGGCGUGCCUAAUACAUGCAAGUCGAGCGAACGGACGAGAAGCUUGCUUCUCUGAUGUUAGCGGCGGACGGGUGAGUAACACGUGGAUAACCUACCUAUAAGACUGGGAUAACUUCGGGAAACCGGAGCUAAUACCGGAUAAUAUUUUGAACCGCAUGGUUCAAAAGUGAAAGACGGUCUUGCUGUCACUUAUAGAUGGAUCCGCGCUGCAUUAGCUAGUUGGUAAGGUAACGGCAUACCAAGGCAACGAUGCAUAGCCGACCUGAGAGGGUGAUCGGCCACACCGGAACUGAGACACGGUCCAGACUCCUACGGGAGGCAGCAGUAGGGAAUCUUCCGCAAUGGGCGAAAGCCUGACGGAGCAACGCCGCGUGAGUGAUGAAGGUCUUCGGAUCGUAAAACUCUGUUAUUAGGGAAGAACAUAUGUGUAAGUAACUGUGCACAUCUUGACGGUACCUAAUCAGAAAGCCACGGCUAACUACGUG
rnacentral:rRNA from 1 species